UACGUAGGGUGCAAGCGUUGUCCGGAAUUAUUGGGCGUAAAGCGCGCGCAGGCGGUUCCUUAAGUCUGAUGUGAAAGCCCCCGGCUCAACCGGGGAGGGUCAUUGGAAACUGGGGAACUUGAGUACUGAAGAGGAAAGCGGAAUUCCACGUGUAGCGGUGAAAUGCGUAGAGAUGUGGAGGAACACCAGUGGCGAAGGCGGCUUUCUGGUCAGUAACUGACGCUGAGGCGCGAAAGCGUGGGGAGCAAACAGG
rnacentral:rRNA from 1 species